CGGAAUUCGAUUAGAGUUUGAUCCUGGCUCAGAUUGAACGCUGGCGGCAGGCCUAACACAUGCAAGUCGAGCGGAUGAAGGGAGCUUGCUCCUGGAUUCAGCGGCGGACGGGUGAGUAAUGCCUAGGAAUCUGCCUGGUAGUGGGGGAUAACGUCCGGAAACGGGCGCUAAUACCGCAUACGUCCUGAGGGAGAAAGUGGGGGAUCUUCGGACCUCACGCUAUCAGAUGAGCCUAGGUCGGAUUAGCUAGUUGGUGGGGUAAAGGCCUACCAAGGCGACGAUCCGUAACUGGUCUGAGAGGAUGAUCAGUCACACUGGAACUGAGACACGGUCCAGACUCCUACGGGAGGCAGCA
rnacentral:rRNA from 1 species